rnacentral:lncRNA from 1 species
ACGGAUCCUUGGGGCGGACGUGGCGUGGCAGGCUCGGCUGAAGAUCCUCGCAGACGGCUGGAUGAUCGCUGAUGCUGAAAUCACGGGAUGGGAAGAUGGAUCUUUGCUGGGAUGAGGUGCGGACGUGGCGUGCGCUCGUGAGGAACUCGGACGUGGACGCUGCGAUGAAGUCGGAUGGAGCUGGGACGUGCUGUGAACGUGGAAGCCGAGAAUGCUGGGAGAUGCUUCACGGACGGUUGGAAGGCGCGUAUGGAUGAACUCGGAAGCAAACGGAUGGGGAUACUCUCGAACGGAAGGAGGAUUGGAACCGACAGCUGCUAAAUCAAUGGGAGAAAAACUCGGAAGCUAAUCCACACGCGGAAGGCACUCGAUCUGAUCCGCGGAUGUGGGGGGAAACUGCAACUCGGAUGCUCUAUGGAAGCUGGG